rnacentral:rRNA from 1 species
GACGAACGCUGGCGGCGUGCCUAACACAUGCAAGUUGAGCGACGAACCAGGGCUUGCCCUGGGGCAAAGCAGCGAACGGGUGAGUAACACGUGGGUAACCUACCCCGAUAACCGGGACAACCCGAGGAAACUCGGGCUAAUACCGGAUGUGCUCACUGGACUUCGGUUCAGUGCGUAAAGGAAGCUUCGGCCUCCGUAUCGGGAGGGGCCCGCGGCCCAUUAGUUUGUUGGUGAGGUAACGGCCCACCAAGACCGCGAUGGGUAGCUGGUCUGAGAGGACGGUCGGCCACACUGGGACUGAGACACGGCCCAGACUCCUACGGGAGGCAGCAGUGGGGAAUCUUGCGCAAUGCGCGAAAGCGUGACGCAGCAGCGCCGCGUGGGGGAAGCAGGCCUUCGGGUUGUAAACCCCUUUCAGGGGGGACGAAGGUUCGGCGGUGAAUAGCCGUCCGGACUGACGGUACCUCCACAAGAAGCCCCGGCUAACUACGUG